UAAAAUAGAUUUACAUGCUUUAAUGUUUUUUUUUCUGUACACUUUAUACUGUACUCUAUUCAACCUCUCUUUGAAAUGCUCUGUUAGAGCCUCAGGGCACUUUAAGGGAAAAACAAACGAUUGUGGCGGCUUCGGUUCUGCCUUAUCGUUUUGAGCAAGAGUUGAACCAGAAGAUGAUAAACCUGAUCCACCUUCACAAGCUGGACUGGUGCAGAAAACAAGCGUCCUGCAAUCGGAAGGAGGGAGAAAUAUGAAGAGUGCUGCUAAUCAAAACGUUGGAUACUGGGACCACUGGGGCUGAACUUUUUCUCUGAGGACAUCAUGCACAUGUUUACAAAACACUUGAGGAUCAGGUUGUCUCCCAUGACGCUCGGCAACGAAUACAUUAGCAGUUUAUUUUGAAAACUCUGUUUCCCACACAUCUUUAGACAUCACAUUCUCUGCAUUGUUCAAAAUGUAAGUUGGCCUUUUUUAUUUCCUCACUUUUAAAUCCAAAUGUCUUUGCCAUUAGUGAGUGGAGUGUCAACUCUGACAACCACAUUAAAGACAGUACAUUUAUACAAAACUUGAAAAUGUGGGAUUGGUGGCUUCUGCACAAACUGAAGCUAAACUGUGUUGCUGGCUUGAAUUUGUAUGAAGAAGCAGCUGAAAUAGUAUUAAGAGAUGGAAAAAAAAAAAAGGAAACUGUAACGGAAGCAGUGAAAAAAUUUUAUGUUGAGAUAGCAAAACAUUUUGUGUUCAGCAUAACUUCCUUUUUGUUAUUUUGAGUUUUUUUCCAUUUCACUGGACAGGAAAGUGACUACUUGUUUAAUAAACAUUAAAAAACUGAGAA